CCCACCGUGUAUUCCGCUCAUUACUCCGUGAUUGGUGCGACCGUUCCUCCCAACCUGUACUGCACAAUUUGCCCAAAUGACAUCAGUGAGUGUAACGAAAACACUUACAAACAUGGGCACUGUGUGAGCCAAUCUGGCGGUGGCUACAAAUGUACCUGCUCACCUGGAUGGACUGGGCAGAACUGUCAGCAAGACAUAGAUGAGUGUACCGGGAACCCAUGU